rnacentral:rRNA from 1 species
GGGGGGGGGGGGGGGGGGGGGGGGGGGGGGGGGGGGGGGCGGGGGGGCGCUGCGUGCGGGGGGCUGGCGUGGGGGGCGGGGGGGUGGCGCGUGGGUGAUCUGCGCUGCACUUCGGGAUAAGCCUGGGGAACUGGGUCUAGUACCGGGGAGGGGCCAUUUUGAGGGUGGUGGUUGGAAGGUUUUUUCGGUGUCGGCUGAGCUCGCGGGCUCUCAGCUUGUUGGUUGGGUCAGGGCCUACCAAGGCGGCGACGGGUAGCCGGCCUGAGGGGGUGGGCGGCCACAUGGGGACUGAGGGACGGCCGAAGCUCGUACGGGAGGGAGCAGUGGGGAAUAUUGCACAAGGAGCGCAAGCCGGAUGAAGCGACGCCGCGUGGGGGAUGACGGCCUUCGGGUUGUAAACUCCUUGCGCUAGGGACGAAGCUUUUUGUGACGGUACCUAGAGAAGAAGCACCGGCUAACUACGUG